UACGUAGGUGGCAAGCGUUGUCCGGAUUUAUUGGGUUUAAAGGGUGCGUAGGUGGCCCUGUAAGUCAGUGGUGAAAUAUCUCAGCUUAACUGAGAGGGUGCCAUUGAUACUGCAGGGCUUGAGUACAGAUGAGGUAGGCGGAAUUGACGAUGUAGCGGUGAAAUGCAUAGAUAUCGUCAAGAACACCGAUAGCGAAGGCAGCUUACCAAGCUGUAACUGACACUGAGGCACGAAAGUGUGGGGAUCAAACAGG
rnacentral:rRNA from 1 species